UACAGAGGGGGCAAGCGUUGUUCGGAAUUACUGGGCGUAGAGGGCGCGUAGGCGGCCUUCUAAGUCGAACGUGAAAUCCCCGGGCUCAACCCGGGAACUGCGUCCGAUACUGGAAGGCUUGAAUCCGGGAGAGAGAUGCGGAAUUCCAGGUGUAGCGGUGAAAUGCGUAGAUAUCUGGAGGAACACCGGUGGCGAAGGCGGCAUCCUGGACCGGCAUUGACGCUGAGGCGCGAAAGCCAGGGGAGCAAACAGG
rnacentral:rRNA from 1 species